AUAGCUCAGUGGUAGAGCACAUGCCUAACAUGCAUGAGGUCCUGGGUUCAAUCCCCAGU
rnacentral:tRNA from 1 species